UUUAAUGUAACACAAUGUUUUAACAUGUUUACCUAUUUUUUUGUGAUUUGUUCAAACAGUGUUGUCAAUAAAGUGAGUGGCAUUUUAAACGUGUGUCAUAGAGUGAGAGGUUUAAUUGGCUAAAUUAAUUUAAUCAUGUAAACGAUUGAUUGAUUGUUGGUUGCUUAACGUCCAGUGGCAAAUAUUUCAUGCAUAUUCAGGACGAGAACAAGUUAACAAUAAACACAAUAGGUAGGUUGUUAUAAUAGAGGAUGAUGGUCGGGGAAAUUUGGACUUCCACAUCAUGUAAACGAAAAAUAAUUUUAACGUUAGUGGUGCGGAAUGUUAAGCCUUGAAUGACUAAAGCAACUUGAGCAAAAUUAUUAAUCAAAGACCAAAAUAAAUGAAAAGGCAGAUUUUGUAAAUAGUAUUUAAUUGAAUCAAACACUGGACAGUUUCCAGGUAAAUAAAAAAAAAACACAUUUUUUAGUUGAUUAACUCAAAAUUCUCACUUUUGCUUUUCAGCUAUUUAAC
rnacentral:lncRNA from 1 species